rnacentral:rRNA from 1 species
UACAUAGGUCCCGAGCGUUGUCCGGAAUCAUUGGGCGUAAAGAGCGUGUAGGCGGUCCGGUAAGUCCUCUGUGAAAGUCCAGGGCUCAACCCUGGAAUGCCGGUGGAUACUGUCGAGCUAGAGUCCGGAAGAGGCGAGUGGAAUUCCUGGUGUAGCGGUGAAAUGCGCAGAUAUCAGGAGGAACACCAAUGGCGAAGGCAGCUCGCUGGGACGGUACUGACGCUGAGACGCGAAAGCGUGGGGAGCAAACAGG